AACGGGGGGACCAAGCGUUUAUUCGUCUUGACUGGGCGUAAAGGGCAAGUAGGCGGUUCUUUUCUUUUUCCUUCUUAAAUGCUUGUUUCUUUAACUUAAAAGGAGGAUGGAAAAGUAACUAGAGUAUGAGAGAGGAUGGCAGUACUCUCAGUGGAGGGGUAAAAGUUCCUUUGAUACUGAUGGGGACUCUCGGUGGCGAAGGCGGCCAUCUGGCUCAUUACUGACGCUGAGGUGCGAAAGCGUGGGGAGCAAACGGG
rnacentral:rRNA from 1 species